rfam:Populus trichocarpa scaffold_10_contig_134, whole genome shotgun sequence.
UCUAUAACUCUAGAUAUGGGCUCAACACCGAAAAUUAUCUGGGUUGUAGGACAAAUUUAGAUUUCUCUUUUUUUGCUAAGAUUUGAACUGAAAAACAACAGUAUUGAGUCUUGGUCUCUUCAUAAAUAUUUUAGAUCAACAUAUUCGCUUUCCAUC